AGAGUUUGAUCAUGGCUCAGGACGAACGCUGGCGGCGCGCUUAACACAUGCAAGUCGAGCGAGAACCGGUCCUUCGGGACCGGGGAAAGCGGCGAACGGGUGAGUAACACGUGGGUAAUCAACCCCUGACACUGGGAUAGCCCGGGGAAACCCGGAUUAAUACCGGAUGGCCCAACAGCUCUUCGGGGCGGUUGGAAAAGGUAGCUUCGGCCUCCGGUCAGGGACGAGCCCGCGGCGGAUUAGCUUGUUGGUGAGGUAACGGCUCACCAAGGCAACGAUCCGUAGCUGGUCUGAGAGGACGAUCAGCCACGCUGGGACUGAGACACGGCCCAGACUCCUACGGGAGGCAGCAGUGGGGAAUCUUGCACAAUGGGCGAAAGCCUGAUGCAGCGACGCCGCGUGAGGGAAGAAGGCUUUCGGGUUGUAAACCUCUUUCAGGAGGGACGAAGCUCCUCGGGUUAAUAGCCCAGAGGGUGACGGUACCUCCAGAAGAAGCCCCGGCUAACUACGUGCCAGCAGCCGCGGUAAUACGUAGGGGGCAAGCGUUGUCCGGAUUUAUUGGGCGUAAAGAGCGUGUAGGCGGCUAGGUAGGUCCGUUGUGAAAACUCGAGGCUCAACCUCGAGACGCCGAUGGAAACCAUCUAGCUAGAGUCCGGAAGAGGAGAGUGGAAUUCCUGGUGUAGCGGUGAAAUGCGCAGAUAUCAGGAAGAACACCCGUGGCUAAGGCGGCUCUCUAGUACGGUACUGACGCUGAGACGCGAAAGCGUGGGGAGCGAACAGGAUUAGAUACCCUAGUAGUCC
rnacentral:rRNA from 1 species